UACGUAGGGGGCAAGCGUUGUCCGGAAUCAUUGGGCGUAAAGAGCGUGUAGGCGGCCCGAUAAGUCCGCUGUGAAAGUCCAGGGCUCAACCCUGGAAUGCCAGUGGAAACUGUCGGGCUGGAGUCCGGAAGAGGCGAGUGGAAUUCCUGGUGUAGCGGUGAAAUGCGCAGAUAUCAGGAGGAACACCAAUGGCGAAGGCAGCUCGCUGGGACGGUACUGACGCUGAGACGCGAAAGCGUGGGAGCAACAGG
rnacentral:rRNA from 1 species